GUCUACGGCCAUGCCACCUUGAACAAGCCCGAUGUCUGAUCUCGGAAGCUAAGCAGGGUUGGGCCUGGUUAGUAUUUGGAUGGGAGACCAUCUAAGGAGAACAGGUGCUGUAGGCA
rnacentral:rRNA from 1 species